CCCAGUAGCUCAGAGGGUAGAGCGUCCGGCUGUUAACCGACGGCCGCAUGUUCGAUCCAUGCCUGGAGCCA
rnacentral:tRNA from 1 species